GUUGCCGUAGCCAUGUGGUUAAGGCGAUAGACUUGAACUCUUUUGGGAUAUUCUCUCGCAGGUUCGAGUCCUGCCGACGACG
rnacentral:tRNA from 1 species